AACAUCGCGCACCUGCGGGAACCUGCGGAGGGAUCAUUACAGAGUUGCAAAACUCCCUAAACCAUUGUGAACGUUACCUAAACCGUUGCUUCGGCGGGCGGCCCGGGUCCUUCCCGGUGCCCAUCGGCCCUCGCGGGCGCCCGCCGGAGGUAAACCAAACUAUUGCAUUGUAUGGCCUCUCUGAGUCUUCUGUACUGAAUAAGUCAAAACUUUUAACAACGGAUCUCAGAUCGGAAGAGC
rnacentral:misc_RNA from 1 species